rnacentral:rRNA from 1 species
AGUGAACGCUGGCGGUAGGCCUAACACAUGCAAGUCGAACGGCAGCACAGUAAGAGCUUGCUCUUACGGGUGGCGAGUGGCGGACGGGUGAGGAAUACAUCGGAAUCUACUUUUUCGUGGGGGAUAACGUAGGGAAACUUACGCUAAUACCGCAUACGACCUACGGGUGAAAGCAGGGGAUCUUCGGACCUUGCGCGAUUGAAUGAGCCGAUGUCGGAUUAGCUAGUUGGCGGGUUAAAGGCCCACCAAGGCGACGGUCCGUAGCUGGUCUGAGAGGAUGAUCAGCCACACUGGAACUGAGAGACGGUCCAGGCUCCGACGGGAGGCAGCAGUGGGGAAUAUUGGACAAUGGGCGCAAGCCUGAUCCAGCCAUACCGCGUUGGUGAAGAAGGCCUGCGGGUUGUAAAGCCCUUUUGUUGGGAAAGAAAAGCAGCAGGUUAAAACCCCGCUGUUCGGACGGUACCCAAAGAAUAAGCACCGGCUAACUUCGU